rnacentral:rRNA from 1 species
UACGUAGGGUGCAAGCGUUUGUCCGGAAUUAUUGGGCGUAAAGAGCUCGUAGGCGGUUUGUCGCGUCUGCUGUGAAAACCCGAGGCUCAACCUCGGGCCUGCAGUGGGUACGGGCAGACUAGAGUGCGGUAGGGGGAGAUUGGAAUUCCUGGUGUAGCGGUGGAAUGCGCAGAUAUCAGGAGAAACACCGAUGGCGAAGGCAGAUCUCUGGGCCGUAACUGACGCUGAGGAGCGAAAGCGUGGGGAGCGAACAGG